ACUCUGGUAUUGAUUGGUGCUUGCAUCAUGAUUUACAUUUGAGUGAGUGGCGAACUGGUGAGUAACACGUGGGAAACCUGCCCAGAAGCGGGGGAUAACACCUGGAAACAGAUGCUAAUACCGCAUAACAACUUGGACCGCAUGGUCCGAGUUUGAAAGAUGGCUUCGGCUAUCACUUUUGGAUGGUCCCGCGGCGUAUUAGCUAGAUGGUGGGGUAACGGCUCACCAUGGCAAUGAUACGUAGCCGACCUGAGAGGGUAAUCGGCCACAUUGGGACUGAGACACGGCCCAAACUCCUACGGGAGGCAGCAGUAGGGAAUCUUCCACAAUGGACGAAAGUCUGAUGGAGCAACGCCGCGUGAGUGAAGAAGGGUUUCGGCUCGUAAAACUCUGUUGUUAAAGAAGAACAUAUCUGAGAGUAACUGUUCAGGUAUUGACGGUAUUUAACCAGAAAGCCACGGCUAACUACGUGCCAGCAGCCGCGGUAAUACGUAGGUGGCAAGCGUUGUCCGGAUUUAUUGGGCGUAAAGCGAGCGCAGGCGGUUUUUUAAGUCUGAUGUGAAAGCCUUCGGCUCAACCGAAGAAGUGCAUCGGAAACUGGGAAACUUGAGUGCAGAAGAGGACAGUGGAACUCCAUGUGUAGCGGUGAAAUGCGUAGAUAUAUGGAAGAACACCAGUGGCGAAGGCGGCUGUCUGGUCUGUAACUGACGCUGAGGCUCGAAAGUAUGGGUAGCAAACAGGAUUAGAUACCCUGGUAGUCCAUACCGUAAACGAUGAAUGCUAAGUGUUGGAAGGGUUUCCGCCCUUCAGUGCUGCAGCUAACGCAUUAAGCAUUCCGCCUGGGGGAGUACGGCCGCAAGGCUGAAACUCAAAGGAAUUGACGGGGGCCCGCACAAGCGGUGGAGCAUGUGGUUUAAUUCGAAGCUACGCGAAGAACCUUACCAGGUCUUGACAUACUAUGCAAAUCUAAGAGAUUAGACGUUCCCUUCGGGGACAUGGAUACAGGUGG
rnacentral:rRNA from 2 species